CACGUAGGGUGCGAGCGUUGUCCGGAAUUAUUGGGCGUAAAGAGCUCGUAGGCGGUGUGUCGCGUCGGCCGUGAAAACCUGCAGCUUAACUGUGGGCUUGCGGUCGAUACGGGCAUCACUGGAGUUCGGCAGGGGAGACUGGAAUUCUCGGUGUAGCGGUGAAAUGCGUAGAUAUCGAGAGGAACACCUGCGGCGAAGGCGGGCUCUCUGGGACCGGUUCUGACGCUGAGGCGCGAAAGCGUGGGUAGCAAACAGG
rnacentral:rRNA from 1 species